rnacentral:rRNA from 1 species
UGGGGAAUUUUGGACAAUGGGCGAAAGCCUGAUCCAGCAAUGCCGCGUGUGUGAAGAAGGCCUUCGGGUUGUAAAGCACUUUUGUCCGGAAAGAAAUGGCUCUGGUUAAUACCUGGGGUCGAUGACGGUACCGGAAGAAUAAGGACGGGCUAACUACGUGCCAGCAGCCGCGGUAAUACGUAGGGUCCAAGCGUUAAUCGGAAUUACUGGGCGUAAAGCGUGCGCAGGCGGUUGUGCAAGACCGAUGUGAAAUCCCCGAGCUUAACUUGGGAAUUGCAUUGGUGACUGCACGGCUAGAGUGUGUCAGAGGGGGGUAGAAUUCCACGUGUAGCAGUGAAAUGCGUAGAGAUGUGGAGGAAUACCGAUGGCGAAGGCAGCCCCCUGGGAUAACACUGACGCUCAUGCACGAAAGCGUGGGGAGCAAACAGG